CGCCUGGAUCGGACCUGCUCGUCAAGGAGACCCACGCCAUGGAGCUGCUCGUCAAUGUUCCACCCUGGCACACAUCCAACAUCGCCAUGGACCAGUAGCUCAAGCCGUCUUCUUCCAGAUGGUGAUGGGGUUCCCUCACCAUCUGCAGGUCAUCAUCCUUAAGGGCUCCACCAUCUGCAGUGUCUACAGUGGACUAUUUGCAUCUUCAGUGCAAAUACCUGAUUGUAUAUGGAUGGAUUGUAGGGUCUAACCACCUUGAUUUGAUUCGGGCUGGAGCAGCAGCAGCAGGUCCUUCCUUCCAUGGAGGGCAUCCACAACAUGACCCGCACAAGGAGCUCCAAGCAGACAAAGCACAGGUUUCUUUGUUUGUAAAUUAAGCAGUCUGGUAGAUUUGGAAAGGAGGAACAGGGUACUGAACUUUUAUAUAUCUGCACAAGGAAUACUAUGUUAUGUAAGAACAUGGCGGUGCAGUCACCCGAGGUGAAGAAGCUCUGUCACCUACCUCUACAUCCUCCACUAGGCUGACAAGCACAACUGCUAACAAGUAUGCUAAUCCACCCUCAUCUGCAUCGCUUCCUCCUAGCCUGUGAUUUAUGACAUGGAGCAUGUUGUUCUGUUAUCAUAUACACGAAUCUGUCCAUGCUUAAAUGUGGUCAUAGGUUGUGGAAUAGGAGAAACAAUAUAAUGUUCUUUAGCAGAUGCAAACCUGUCCAUGCCUUAUUUGGACCAAUAAUUACUGGUGUUGCCUAUUUGAUAUGUAAACAUAUUUUUUUGGAUGUCACAGAAAAAUGCCAUGCUACUACAUAAGUUUGAAUCAAACAAAUUAAAUUUGUAAUAAGAUCCCUGAAAGUAAUUAAGUGCUUCUUGAAUGCAUGGAAACAACAAGUUAGAUAUCUCAGAGGUACUAUGUCAUAUAUUCUGAAAGUGGCGCACAUGGAUAUGUAUUCUUGGUUAGCUUUAUGUUCCAUUUCUGUUGUACAUGCUCCAAGAGUUAAUGUGUUAUUCUGAAAGGAUAUGAAGUGAAUUGUCUUCUACUGCAAUCAAUGGGCAUUUCGUUCUACACAUAUGUCCUGAUGUUGUAGUGCCACUUGAUUUCCUUUAAAAUUUCAGUAACAAUUGAGCAAUAUUGGCCUUCCCUUUUUCCUGUAUUAAGUACUAUUCAUGGAGUCAAAGCUCAUGGAGAUGGUCUGUUACUGAUUGCUGCA